UGAAGAACGUAGUGAAAUGCGAUAAGUAAUGUGAAUUGCAGAAUUCAGUGAAUCAUCGAAUCUUUGAACGCACAUUGCGCCCGCCAGUAUUCUGGCGGGCAUGCCUGUUCGAGCGUCAUUUCAACCAUCAAGCCCCCGGCUUGUGUUGGGGACCUGCGGCUGCCGCAGGCCCUGAAAACCAGUGGCGGGCUCGCUAGUCACUCCGAGCGUAGUAAUACAUCUCGCUCAGGGCGUGCUGCGGGUUCCGGCCGUUAAAAGCCUUAUUUACCCAAGGUUGACCUCGGAUCAGGUAGGAAGACCCGCUGAACUUAAGCAUAUCAAUAAGCGGAGGA
rnacentral:misc_RNA from 1 species